GAAACGAUGAUGGCAGAAACAGCUUCCUCUGGAUAAUUAGCAUAAAUAUCUGCUUAGAACUGAGUAAUUUGUUCGCUGUACAGGAUGUACUGCAGCAGUUUUAUGAGCUAAAAGACACGGGGAAUGUUUUGAAUGACUGACAUUUGAAACAGCGCAGGCAGAUAUCGGGCACUUCUCAGGGACUGCCACGCUAAAAAGCCCCAUCAGAGUGGAUGAGUGUCCAUUCCCACCCAGCAUGGGGCCAGCCGUCCCUGGGGGGCUUCACCCAGACGUAUCCCUGCAGCUUCCCACUCAAAGCAAUGUUUCCACUUAGCGGAGGACUGGGGGGGAUCCAGACACUGACAACGGGAAAGGGAGAAUGUAGAAACAAAUGGAAAGAGAGAAGAAGAUGAAAAAAUCGGUGCUUUCUGCUGUCUUUGAAAUAAAACACGUGGUUUUCAAAAUGGUGACCUUUUCCAAACGGCCUUCAGAAAAGUGGGUCAUUUUGUUCCUCAGAAGCCGUGCUUGACAAGUGUGACUGGAGAAAGUGCCAUGGAGGACAGCCAUGGCUUUGGGGACAGGUCCAGCAGCGCUCCCCACGUGUCCAUCACAUCCAUCUCCAGCUGCCAAGAAGGCUUUCUUCAGGCUUCCUUUAUGCAUGCCUCUCCUCCAGAGCUCAGUGUGGAAAUGGGAAAGCCCAGAAAUGCUGUGUGCGUUGAGAAAGGACCAGAAGGAACAGCUCGCAUUCCUUUCCCAGCCCAGAAGUUCCCAACCCUCAGGGACUCAACGUAACCAAGUCCUGGAGCCACUUCUGCAGAACACAUAUUGGUGGGAGCUGGGAGAAGACGCUUCCCUGAGCCAUAGUUUGAAGGUGUCCCUGGGGACAAUUUCUGCUGUUCACAGGUUACCAACGAUCGGCAGAGCAGGAGUAAUUCAUCUGUGUGGGGAACCUGCGUUUGACCUGCUGAGUAGUAAGAAAAUACCUACAUCAAAAACCUUUUAUUUUUUUCAGGAUAAAAUUCAGAGUUGAAGCCCCCCUCCCCACUCUGCAGAACUUUGGUGAACAAAUGCAAAAUCUGAGGAAAAGAGAGUCAUUUGUUUAUAAAAUGUUGGUUAAAUCCCAUUAUUCUGGCUGUACUACUAACAUUAAUACCAGGUCUGUUGGUCAUAACUCUUUCUCAAAUUGCACAUAAUGGGCAGUCAAGAUCAAGAUCAGUUGCCCCUGAGCCAAGCAGACCAGGAGACCACCAGGACUACUUCUUCCAUGACUGCCCCUAUUGAUGGGAUUGUUGCAGAAGGGGUAUCAUGAGGGUUGGGUCUCAGCCUAGUAAAGAGCAGGGUAGGUCACUGGGACUGCAUAGCUUUGGUUCGAAGCAAGAAAGGAUGUGUCUGGCUGUUUGCUGCUGUGUGUGCUCCUGGUGCCAGCUCCACUUCUGGCCCAGAGACCCCCAGCUGGACAGAAUAAAAUCAAGCAGAAUGCAUCAAGGAGAACGGGAACAGUAUUUAAUUCGCCUGCAGUGGCCCUCUUUUUCUAGUCCUAGUAGAGCCAGUCAAAACAUUUUGAACCAGGAGGUUUUCCACUGGAAAAUGCUAUUCUUUCUGAAGUCAAACAGGAACUUGUUCAAAUGUCAGUGACAGUUUUUG
ensembl:lncRNA